AAAAGGAAGGGAAAAGGGGUGGCAGGAGCCGCCCAGCCCCGGCCCCCCCGGACCUGCGGCGGGCAGAGCUGCAGGGCCAGCAGGAGGCAGAGCGGGGCCCGGCCCCGCCGCAUCGCGGCCACGGGCACGGGGCCGAGCCGGGCCGAGCCGCGCCCCCGCGGCCGCUGCUGAGCGGGGAGCGCCCGGAGCCGGCCCCGGGCACGGCUCGGCCCGGCUCGGGUCAGUUCAGGCCAAUUUAUCCCGGCUUGGCUUGUCCCGGCUCGGUUUGUCCCGGUUCGUCCCGGUUCGGCUCGUUUUGUCCCGGAUUGUCCCGGUUCGUCCCGAUUUGUCCCGGUUCGUCCCGGUUCAGCCCGGCAGGUCCCGGUGCUGCUCCCUUAUCCCGGCUCGGCUCGGUUCAGCCCAGCCCGGCUCGGUUCAGCCCGGCUCGGCGCGGCCCCGCAGGGAGGGGCGAGGCGCCACGCCAUUGGCUGACGCCGGAGGGGGCGGGGCCGGGGGCGGGGCCACGCCCGGCACGGCUCGGCACGGCUCCGGCCCCGCUGGGUUUGGCCCGGGUGGGAGCCGAUGGGGUUGGGGUCAGACCCUGCCCCUUGUGUGGGUGUAGGUACGGUGUGGGUACGGGUAGGGGUAGGUAUGGUGUAGGUAGAGGUAGGUGUAGGUAUGGUGUGAGUAGGGGUAGGGGUAGGUGUAGGUAUGGUGUGUGUAGGUGUACGUAUGGUGUGUGUAGGGGUAGGUGUAUGUAUGGUGUGAGUAGGGAUAGGUGUUGGUGUAUGUAUGGUGUGUGCAGGGGUAGGCGUACAUGUAGUUGUACAUAUGGCGUGUGUAGGGGUAGGUAGAGGUGUACGUGUGGUGUGUGUAGGGGUAGGUGUACGUACGGUGUAGGUAGGGCUAGGUGUAGGUGUAGUUAUGGUGUGCGUAGGGGUAGGUGUAGGUGUAUGUAUGGUGUAUGUAGGGGUAGGUGUAGGUGUAGGUACGGUGUGUGUAGGGGUAGGUGUAGGUGUAGGUACGGUGUGUGUAGGUGUAGGUACAGUAGGUGUAGGUGUAUGUAUGGUGUGUGUAGAGGUAGGUGUAGGUACAGUGU
rnacentral:lncRNA from 1 species